GUGCCAGCAGCUGCGGUAAUACGGAGGGUGCAAGCGUUAAUCGGAAUUACUGGGCGUAAAGCGCACGCAGGCGGUCUGACAAGUCGGAUGUGAAAUCCCCGGGCUCAACCCGGGAACUGCAUUCGAAACUGUCAGGCUGGAGUCUUGUAGAGGGGGGGUAGAAUUCCAGGUGUAGCGGUGAAAUGCGUAGAGAUCUGGAGGAAUACCGGUGGCGAAGGCGGCCCCUGGACAAAGACUGACGCUCAGGUGCGAAAGCGUGGGGAGCAAACAGGAUUAGAUACCCUGGUAGUCCACGCUGUAAACGAUGUCGACUUGGAGGUUGUGCCCUUGAGCGUGGCUUCCGGAGCUAACGCGUUAAGUCGACCGCCUGGGGAGUACGGCCGCAAGGUUAAAACUCAAAUGAAUUGACGGGGCCCGCACAAGCGGUGGAGCAUGUGGUUUAAUUCGAUGCAACGCGAAGAACCUUACCUGGUCUUGACAUCACAGAAGUUUCAGAGAUGAGAAUGUGCC
rnacentral:rRNA from 1 species